ensembl:lncRNA
CCGAUUUCAGCUUGCUUGACGAAGGCUUUGACGAAGGUCUUCAUGUCCUCAAACUUUUCACCAGCCCUCAGCAGGAACAGCAGGUCCAGAGGCUUCUUACAGGGGGCUGGCAGGGGGUUGAGGGGGGGUAGCGUGGGGAAGUAGGGUGUGAGGCUCUGCCGCGUGAUGUUGAUGACCAUGUUGACCACAUCGGGCACCGACGGGUCCCCCCAGUGCGGCACGCUCAGGGGGCUGGGGGGCGUGCUGAACGGCAGCAGGACGUCCUCGUCUAUCUGGGUGCCCACCCUGAUGGGGUAGACGUGGGUGGUGCUGCCCCUCGGGGGGGGCUUCACCUCAUCCGUGGGGGCGUUCUCCGUGAUCAGGAAGACCAGCUGGGGGACGGGGGGCCCCGGGGCAGUGGGUCGCUGCCAGCUCGUUUCCUGAUAGGUGGUGCUGAUGGCGGCCCCCGUGUUGGUCUUGGCGCCCCCCGUCCAGCGGAUCUCCCUCAGGCGCUGGCGCCACAGGGUGCUGCUCUGCCACAGCUCCCAGCGCCGGAUCUCCACGGUGACGGUGAGCGAGUACUGGACGACGGUGAUGCGGAUGUGCCUGUGCUCCCGGCUCAUCUUCGAGACCACCUGCUCGAUGAAGAGCAGCGAGCGGUUGAAGUUGUCCACCCCCACCGACUCCGAGCCCUCCACCAAGAACGUGACGUCCACGGGGGCGGAGGGGGUCGCCGUGGUGACGGGGGACCGGCCGGAGGCUGAGGACGGGGCCGGGGUGAUGGGCGGUAGGAUCGCGCCCUGCUUGGGUACCACGCGGGUCGGCUGGAGCGUGGAGGUGCUGGAGGUGGCGGGGGUAGGGGUGGUGGUGGUGGUGGUGGGGGCCCUGGUGGUCCGAGGCUUGGGUACUUCGGGUUCCAUGCCGAGGGUGCAGAGGUGGUCCUUGAGCUCGAGCAGCUGGUCGGUGAGCUCGGCGGGGCUGCUCAGCACGUAGGCGCGGUUGUCCUUGUUGGCGGCGGUGAUCUCGUUGAUCUGGCUCAUGCUGACCCCGGGGCCGAGGGCCACCGUCAGCGUGGUGAUGCUCUUCUUGCGCAGCAUCUUGACGGUGGUGCGCAGGUGGCGGGGGGUUGGCGCUGGCCGUCAGGAUGAUGGCCACGCGGCCGGCGUGCUCGCGCUUGUUCUUGUCGUAGAUGUUGAUGGCGAGGUACUUGAUGGCCUCGGCCAGGAAGGCUUCAGGGGAGACCAGGUGGGCACAGCGCAGGAACACACUGGAGGUGUGCAGUAUACUGCAGCUGGAC